rnacentral:rRNA from 1 species
AACGAACGCGGGCGGCGUGGAUAAGACAUGCAAGUCGAGCGCUAAUCAACAGGUAGCAAUAUUUGUUGGUUGGAGCGGCGCAAGGGUGCGUAACACGUGGGUAAUCUGCCAUGAAGUUUGGGAUAACUUGCUGAAAGGCGAGCUAAUACCGGAUGUGACGGCGGGGGGGCAUCUCCCUGUUUUCAAAGCUGGGGACCGUAAGGCCUGGCGCUUCAUGAUGAGCCCGCGACCUAUCAUGGUAGUUGGUGAGGUAACGGCUCACCAAGCCGAAGACGGGUAGCUGGUCUGAGAGGACGACCGGCCACACUGGAACUGAGACACGGUCCAGACACCUACGGGUGGCAGCAGUCGAGAAUUUUUCACAAUGGGCGCAAGCCUGAUGGAGCGACGCCGCGUGGGGGAUGAAUGGCUUCGGCCCGUAAACCCCUGUCAUUUGCGAUCAAACCUCGGUAUUUAAAAGAUGCCGAGCUGAUAGUAGCGGAAGAGGAAGGGACGGCUAACUCUGUGCCAGCAGCCGCGGUAAUACAGAGGUCCCAAGCGUUGUUCGGAUUCACUGGGCGUAAAGGGUGCGUAGGUGGUGAGGUAAGUCGGAUGUGAAAUCUCCGAGCUCAACUCGGAAAAUGCAUUGGAAACUACCUUGCUGGAGGGUUGGAAGGGGGACUGGAAUACUUGGUGUAGCAGUGAAAUGCGUAGAUAUCAAGUGGAACACCAGUGGCGAAGGCGAGUCCCUGGACAACACCUGACACUGAGGCACGAAAGCUAGGGGAGCAAACAGGAUUAGAUACCCUGGUAGUCCUAGCCGUAAACGGUGCACGUUUGCUGUAAAAGGAAUCGACCCCUUUUG